CUGCCCCAUCCUAAGUCCAACACUGAGUACGGUUGUUCGGAAUGGCCCAAGGAGGGUGAAAGGCCCGUGGGGGUGGGGACCACAGUGCUGCUAUGAGUAGACCUUGGAGUCGGGUUGUUUGUGAAUGCAGCCCAAAGUGGGUGGUAAACUCCAUCCAAGGCUAAAUACUGGCACGAGUCCGAUAGCAAACAAGUACCGUGAGGGAAAGUUGAAAAGUACUUUGAAGAGAGAGUAAACAGUACGUGAAACCGUUCAGAGGUAAACGGGUGGAGUUGAACUGCAAGCUCUGAGGAUUCAGCUGGUGAGAGUGGCUUAGGCAUGGUUAUAACGGUCGUCCGUUCGGGUUCGCUUAACUGCGGGUCUCUGCCUCCGGGUGGGGAUGCUUGGGUACUUAUCAAGUACUGCGCGCUCGUGACGGUUCACCGGGCCGGCUUGCCAGUGCACUUUCUCGGAGUAGUCACCACGACCGGCGCUGCUGCUGGUCUGCUGGUGUUAAACCUGUCGUGUAGGGUCCUUGUGGCUCUAUGCGAUGGGGACGGCAGGUGGCUCGUUGGCUUCACGCCAUCGAGUGUUAUCAGCUGACAUCAGUGGUACUAUGCGUUGCGUCGGAGACGGCGGCUUAUGGUGUAUACGUGUGUACCUGUUCUGCUGGCAGUGUCGGGUCUGGUUGUCAUGUAGCCUGUAAAAGCAGGCCUGAUAGUGGCUCGGCAUUGUUUGGUGGGUGGUGGCAUGCGGAACACGUUUAAUGGGGGCCGAUAGUCUGUGGUGUAGUGGUAGACCUUCCACCCGACCCGUCUUGAAACACGGACCAAGGAGAGUAACAUGUGCGCGAGUCAAUGGGCGUUACGAAACCCAAAGGCGUAGUGAAAGUGAAUGUUCGGCUUGUCCGGACUGCGGUGAGAUCCUGGCGUUUCUCACGCGUGGUAUCACCAUGCCCUUGAGCGUCAGGCGCAUCACCGGCCCGUCCCAUGGUGUGGGUGCUCUGAUCUUCGGAAUUGUUGCAUCCCAUCGGGGUGGAGCAUGAGCGUACACGUUGAGAC
rnacentral:rRNA from 1 species